rnacentral:rRNA from 1 species
AUGGGGAUGCAGGUUCUGAUGGAUGUUCGGUGCAAGAAUUUAGUGAACCCUGUAUGUGACUGGCUCGGUGAGAUUUACGAGCCCGCCUCCAGGGAAUUUGUGAUUCCGGGACGUGGAAGACUGCCGUUAGAUGAGGAAUCCAUGUUCUGCACGUUGGGUGUGCCCUGUGGAGAGAUCAAAGUCCCGUAUGAGGUCAAUAAUAAGAUUGAGGAAACGUUGUUUGCCCGUUUGUUUCCUGGGUUGACAUCCAUGCCGAACACGACCGUGCUGGCAAAUUCACUGGAGGGCAUGACAACCCAUGGCGAGGUUUUCAAGAUGAAGCUACUCAUGUACCUGAUCUCAGCUGUUUUUGUGCCAACCAUAUCUCUUCGCCCAAGCAACAAAUGCUUCCCCAUCCUGGCAAAACUGAAAGAUGUGAAGAACAUGAAUUGGUGUAAGUUCAUUGCGGACUUCCUGCAUGAUGCAUUCUCAAACAAGAUGUACCAGAAGGGUUGUCGACUCCAUUUAAUGCUCAUGUACGUCGAUCGUCUUGAUCUGUCCACUGUGGACUUUACUGGGAUAGGAGGUCCGCCGCCUCCACACAAGUUUAUUGUUUCUGCGUGGACUUACGAUGCUGUCAAGGCUGUGCUUGCCGCAGACAAGAUAACUGAUACGAAAUACGGGAAACUGCAGCUGAUGGCCAAGCAUGCUAUAGACUACAGCGUGUUUGGUGGGCCUCAAAACUUUGGAAAGUGGAUGGACGUGCACUCCGCUCCAUCUUGUCCUGUUGAGGCGAGGGCACCUGUUGAGCAUCUAAUUGGGCAGUUUGCAUCCGGAAUGACCAGCUUGCUUGGGAAGUUGAGGGUUGGACGUCCCUUAAUGGCUCUGACAGCGACGCGGUUGCGAGGCAGUUCACUCCAUUUGUUGCAGAACGGACACAUCAGCCAACUGGUUGCCGUGGUCGGUACGACUACAACAGCUCGCAGGAGCUUCCUGACACACAAGAUGAACUAG